UUAGGAAAGGGAGACUGUAGGGGGGGCUUACAAUGGAGAUAUUGUCUAACAUGACUACGAUUUUUUGCAUAUAUACUGCCUUUUACAGGAACACCAUCAGGCCCAGUGACCUGCGAUGCUUGUAAAAGGCAGUAUAUAUGCAAAAAAUCGUAGUCAUGUUAGACAAUAUCUCCAUUGUAAGCCCCCCCUACAGUCUCCCUUUCCUAAUCCCACCUUUCCCUUUUACCCUAUGUCCUAUUACCCCCAGUGUAUUCCCAAUCCGUUUUUUCAUCCAUGGUUUCCCUCACAAAACCAUGCUUUUGCCAAUUGUUUCCCCAAAAAUCCCUUUCCAAUGCCGAGUGGGGGAUGAAAAGGGGGAGGGAAGAAGUUAAACCCUCUCCUGCCUCAGUUUCCCCACAAAGCAUGCUCAGAGAGUUCUGUCUCCCUUCUGUCAGCCCUAAGAUGUUCCACAGAAUCUGUUUGGACAUUUAAAGACUCAGGAGGGUGGCUUGUUUUGUUUUGAAACUGUUCUUGUUAUGUUUAUCCAGUUGUUUUCAUUCUCCUUUUAUUAAAAUAAAACGGGUGAGGUGUUGGGGUCCCUCCCCUGCCGUGUAGCCCUGGGAGAGGGGCCCUGAGGGCACAGACACGGGGCUUCCCUGCCCCUGCUCAGCCUCGUUCCCAUUGGUUGGUUUGUGUUCCCUGCGCGGGCAGAAGGACCCUUGGUCCCGUGACUGGAACAGUUCCUCGGCAGAGCUCCGGCCAUGCGGCUGGAGAAAUAAACAUCUCUCUGAAACAGCUAGCAAGAAUCUGUCUGUCCAUAUAUAUUUCCUUUCCACGGGACUCCUGGUUUGAUAUAUGCAUGUUGCAGUAUCCCCACUGCAACAGUUAUCCCCCAGGCUGUUUUGAGAAAAAUGUGCUGUUUGUUCACAAUUGUGCUGUAAAGACUCAGGAGCAGGAAAUACGGUGUUCUUUUGGGUUCCAUGUUUGUUGUUUGGAUUUUUCUUCAUAUUUGAAUAUAUAGAACUACUGACUCUACUAAAAUAGUUCACAUAAAAGUUUGUGGGAUCACACCUGAAGGAUUUUGCUGUUUUGUGCAAUUGCUAUGGCUGUUACAUUCCAGACUGCACUUUAUUCCUCUAUAUCCUCAGAAGGCUCUUGCUGUAAUCUGCAACUCUCCUGUACAUGCUCACAACUGCAGUGUAACCCAGGGACUGCACUCCCUGUUACUGCUAUGUGACUGCAUUUGAAAAAGUGGAAUAUAUUUAGGGUUGCCUUCAGGUCCACAGCUGCUUUCACAGGAGUCUUCCUGAAACCACAAUUCAGUUCGCACGGCUCAUGUAAAGUUUCCUGUUUAGCCUCACUAUGUUGUUUUGUAACUACUAGAUACUGCUUUGUUUAAAAUGCAUGGAAAUUACUUAUUCAUCUUCAUCGUGGUUUGAUGCUGGCCCAACGCCAGGCACCCACGAACGAUGACCACUCACUCUCCCCUGCCACAGCUGGGCUGAGGAGAGAAAAAAAAUUAACGAAGGGUUCAUGAGUUAAGGACCAGAAGAAAACACUCCAAGGGCAAAACAGGUUCAGUGUAAAGUUACAAAGUUAAUUUAUUACUAACAGAGUUAGAGGAGGAUAAUGAGAAGUAAAAUAAGCCCGUGAAACACCUUUUCCCCCCAGCCCCUCCCUCCUUUCCACCA
rnacentral:lncRNA from 13 species